rnacentral:rRNA from 1 species
GAUGAACGCUGGCGGCGUGCCUAACACAUGCAAGUCGAGCGGCAGCGACGGGUGCUUGCACCCUGUCGGCGAGCGGCGGACGGCUGAGUAACGCGUGGGAACGUGCCCCAACGUUGGGAAUAACUGCCCGAAAGGGGAGCUAAUACCGCAUAUUAUCUUCGGAUCAAAGGAUUUAUCCGCUUUGGGCGCGGCUCGCGGCCGAUUAGGUAGUUGGUGAGGUAAUGGCUCACCGAGCCGACGACCCGUAGCUGGUCUGAGAGGAUGACCAGCCAGACUUGAACUGAGACACGGUCCAGACUGCUACGGGAGGCAGCAGUGAGGAAUCUUCCACAAUGGGCGAAAGCCUGAUGGAGCAACGCCGCGUGCAGGACGAAGGCCUUCGGGUUGUAAACUGCUUUUAUAAGUGAGGAAUAUGACGGUAACUUAUGAAUAAGGAUCGGCUAACUACGUG